rnacentral:lncRNA from 1 species
AGCAACAAAAAGGCCUUUCACCCUUCUCAAUUAGGCUGCUGAAAUUAAGAGAGCUGUGAGCUGGGGGGAAUUGGGAGCUGAUUUUUAUGUGUGAAGAACUAAGAGCUCAAUUAUGAUCCUGAAAACAAAUGGCUCUUUCAUAAUCUACUCUCCUGGUUUUGCACCUGGUUUCAGCUGGUGAACCUUGAGGUUCUACUAACAAAGCAAGGGAGGUCCUGUAAGCCUGAAGUCUUCUCAGCCUGCCUUGUGACCUCUCCAUGGAUACAAGAAACAAAUGCCUGAGCAGGGCUUGGGUGAUUGUGUGAAAAAGACCCAGCAAGCACAGCCUUGCUGCUUCACCCCUUUUCUGUUUCACAUAGCGUGUUCUCCAUAACAGAGAGCACGUGUUGCGGUUGGGGGAACAAGCCCCCCUGCCGUUACUGGGCAGAUUUUGGGAGGAACCCAAGCCUUUAAGUGGUUAAAUUGGGUUGCUGGGGCGUUUUGAUUGUUGCCAAUUUGGAGGAGGGGUCAGAGUCUUUAAAUACAGGAAGCCCAACGUUGGGCGUCCUCUUGGCCAUUUUGCAUCGGAUCACAUGGAGCACUUGGACAAUCUUCUCAUUGUCUGGUUACAUUUCUUUAUUUCUUUAUUUCCCCUUUCUUUUCAUCCUCUCUAGUCCCUUAAAUAAUUUAAUUCCCCCCUUUUCCUGUUCGAUUUCCCACCCCACCCCUUACCCUGCCCUGUGGGAAGAUUCUCCCUGUAUCUGUGGCUUGCCUUUCCCAAUAGGGAGAGAGCCCCCGUUAGGGGCUUUCUUUCGCAAAAAGGUUUCCCCCAUUUCUCCUGUUGAAAUUGUGGGGCUAAUCAGGGCUGUUCCCAGCUUAGCGGGAGUCACUUUCGUUUAUAGUAUCCCCGAAGGUUGGCUUUAUUUUGGGUGUGCGCAGCGCUGUUGGCCAAAUUUUAAUCUAGCUUUGGGCGGGAGCACUAAUUUGAGUUCCUUUAAUAUUGCUAUGAGACUAAGAUUCUCAAGAGCAGAAGCAGGGAGGCCUAUUCGGCCUGCACAUAACUUCCAAGCCUAAGUCUGCUACAGGUAGCACUUAAUUGUGAAGUCUCUGUGACAUGUGACUCAUUCUCUCUCUGAGAAAGUAUCUUUUGCUUGCAGGCCCAGUUGCUGCUAAUGUAUAUCUGAGGCAGACAGAGGGCGCCAGAGGCUUUCUGUGCCUCCAGUGACUAUGAGCACUCUGUGUAUUCUCUUGAGCUAUGUUGUUUCUGAACAAGUUUAUUUUCUUCAGGUUUGUUUUGCCCUGAUAGUGGUGACUGCCAUUUUAGAGAUGAGCCAGUGUGGCUUAGUGGCUAGAGUGCAGGACUAGGUCCUGGGACACAGGGUUCAUAUCCCCCUCUUAGCCAUUGUUAUAACAAAACAAAACAAACUGCUCCUUUUUGGCUAUUCUGUUGCUGGGUAGUUUGGCCCAUUUGUGAUAAAAGAACUUUGGGUUUCUUGAAGGGGUGCUUCCCUCUAAAAGGGCAAGCAGGGGUACCUGGACAAGCUGUGGGCCACCUCAACUCUGCUAUUUCACUGGAAACAUUUAUGCCUGGCCUAGCAGGUGAUCCUAGGGCUUUGCCCUAGAAUUCGAUGGCCUGGAAGCAUUUCCGGCCUGAAUAGUGUCCCCAUGUGGUGCAUGAAGCAUUGGUUUCACUGGGUCAGCGCAUAGUGCCGGUAAUGCCUAGGUUGCAGGAUUGGUCCCUGUAUGGGACAGCUGCAUGCUCCCCCAUUGCUCUACCUGGACACUUAGGUCCUUUUGGUGGUUCCCUCACUGUGAGGGAAGUAACGGGCACCAUGUUUGCAAUAUGCAAGCGGGAGAAAGCACCUUUGCGUGCCCGCAUUGCAGUUUGCUCUGUGCGUUGCAGGGCACGGCGCUGCACGGGCUGCAAUUGCAUUGCAUUGCAUUGCAUUGUGUGAGAGAUUUGCAGUUGCAUUGCACGGAGGGUGUGUGCAUUGCACGGAGGGUGUAAGUGCAUUGCACAGAGGGUGUAGUUGCAUUUCACGGAGUGUGUUGUUGCAUUGCACGAAGUGUGUUGUUGCAUUGUACGGAAGGUGUGGUGCAUUGCACAGAGUGUGUGUGUGUGUGUGUGUGCAUUGCACGGAGUGUGUAGUUGCAUUGCACGGAGUGUGUGUGCAUUGCACGGAAGGUGUAGUUGCAUUGCACAGAGUGUGUGUGCAUUGAACGGAGUGUGUAGUUGCAUUGAACGGAGGGUGUGUGCAGUGCACGGAGUGUGUAGUUGCAUUGAACGGAGGGUGUAGUUGCAUUGCAUGGAGGGUUUGUGUGUGCAUUGCACGGAGUGUGUAGUUGCAUUGCAAGGAGUGUAGUUGCAUUGCAUGGAGUAUGUGUGCACUGCACGGAGUGUGUUUUUGCAUUGCACAGACUGUGUGUCUGAAAAGGAAGCUGGCUCGGCGGCAGCUUUGUCGGGACUUCUUUGGGGGUUCUGGCCAGCGUCGGCCCUGUAAAUUUACAUAUCAUGAUGGCAGCACAAGAUGCCCCCUGCCCAAGCGGGGGCUGGAAGCUGGCAAGCAAUAGCUCAAUACUUUUUGCCCAUAUUCCCAUUUUAUUUAGGGAUCCAGUUGGAUAUCGUUGCUAAAACACACCACUUGCCUAUGGAGAAGCUGUCUGCCUUGAAGGAAGUUAUUUUGUAAUACUUCCUCUGUAGCAAGUGAUGCUUCAUCAGAUCCGAUCUUGCUGGGUCACUUAAUUAAUCUUGCAUGCAGAGUGGUUGCCCCAGGCCACCCCUUCCAUUCCCGCUAGGCCAGGCUGCCUGCGGCCUGAGGUCCCCUUACCUUUGUGUACGCCUACCAAGUGAGGUGAAGGCAGAUAUCAGGCGAUGGUUGCAAUUCCUGAAUGUAUGCAAUAGUAGUUCGCCAUGGCAGGAUACCUUGAACCCGCACAGGGAUUUUCAGGUUCAUGCUGGUGCUGCUGGAUCUUUGCCCUUUGGUUUUUUAUUUCAGGGGCUGCUGGUGUGCAUAGCCAUGGCCUCAAGCCCGGUGUGGUGAGGCAAUCAUGUGACCUAACUUUUCUUGAGUUUUCCCCAUUGUAGUAGCAGUUCACAUGUGGCCCGAGGAGUUCAGUGACCAUCGGAUCUGCUUUUGGUCGGAUAACCAGGCAGCGGUGAGCGUCUUGGCAGAACAGUCCUCAAGCUCCAGCAGAGUCUCCGCCCCUCCGCUCACGCUUUCGAGCUGCGCCGCUUAAGGUUUAAUAUUGUGCUUUCUGCUCUCCUGAUUACGGGAUCCUCUAAUGAUGUCGCUGACACUCUAUCCCAUUUUCAGAUGAAGCGCUUCAGAUCCUGGGCUCCAGACACUCAGCUACUGCCAGACUUUUCCAGACCACCUGUGGCACUUUGACAACAAUUAGUAAUUACAGAGAGCAGCAGCUUCCAUUUCCCCUUCUGCUUUUAGCUCUUAUGAGAAGGCCUGGAUGGAUUUCAUAGCCUUAAGCUGGCAGUCCUCGGCCAUUCAGAAGAACUGGCUCCCAUCCUCUGAGCAGAUCCUGCAGUAUUUGGUCCACCUGCUGCAGGUUGGAUGUGCUGUUAAAACUAUCAGUAUUCAGUCCGCUGCUAUGUCUGUUAUAGUAAAGCUUUAAUUUGCAGAGACCCUUGUAUAAAGUCUGUCGUGCACAGGGCCUUGGAAGGUUGGAAUAGGCUCCAACCUCAUACGACAGUGGGCAGGAAGUCGGUCAAUUUUUACCUAUGUAGUAUCUGCAACAAGUUAUAACUUGUCUGCUGGUUAAAGAUCAAGGCGAGACUCCUUUCAGUAUUCCAUUGCAUUUUUGGUGCACUGAGGGUUGGGGAAAUUGUGUUGGAGCCAGCACGGGGCUGAGAGUCUGGAGGCUUAUUGCUUCUGGACUUUUUCUUAUCUGCUUUGGAGCUGGUCAUUAGAGUGGGGAACUCUAAAACAGACCGAGUGGGCAGGAGUGCCACCAUCAGGCUUCCCCUCACAGGUGAGGAGGGCCCUUGCCCGGUUAUGGAUACCAGAAAUAUUUGGCUUUUCGUUCCCCGGGGGCUGGCCCGCUCCUAGUGCAUGGAAAUGGGUUCCCGUUAGCCAGGCAUCAAUGUGCUUACGUCGUGCACCAGUUAUUACGGCCUGCGGCUUGCUUACCGCUGAACACGCCUCAUUCCUUACGAUUAGGUGCUGCUGCAAAGGCUGCACACUGGGGGCCUGUCAGUAGACAUGACUGUGAAUACGGGUCAUUGGAAGUCUGACGCUGACAAGGGUUAUAUCAGGAAGUGUCACAAUGAUGUCUGCUGAUGCUUGUCUGUUAUUUCCUUUUUCAUAGGAGCAGCUGUGCACAUUUGGGCCACAGCAUUGUACACUGGGCUGGCAAACGCGCUGACGAGUCUGGACUGGGGCGCCAUCUCAGUCUUCCUGCCCAUCUGAGCAUAUACUGGGUGUCCAGAUGGGGAAUGCUUUGGGAGGAGUUCCUUCCUUUGGUGCGGUCGAGUGUGACCUGUGCAGGUCCUCCCGCAGUGCUAGUGGGGCAGCUGGACGAGAAUGACUUGCCGUCUUCUUACAGCAUAAGUUUGCGUUCCUGCAUGCAGGAGGACUUGGAUGAGUUGAUGGCAGCUCUCCCUGGACUCAAAAUAAUUUAAGGCAUUGGUUCAAGGUGGUCUGGAGGGGGGGUCGGAGCACCUGUCCCCUCCAAUGCGCAAAGGUAAUCCUUUAAAGGAAUCCAAGGAUUCACCAUGCUUUUGUCGACCCCUUUCGAGGGGCAGGGCCACGCAAGGGUCCCUGGGAACAUUUGGGGUGCGCUUGAGUCUGAUCCUGGUUCAUUGCUCCCCCACGCGGUUUAUUUGUACUGACGAUAUGGUGGGGCCCAGUCGUCAGUGCUGCGCUGCUGAGGUCAGGCGCAGCUAGUCGGGAACCAAUGCCUAGACAAACUACCACCGAGGAGGCCGGAAAGCGUGUUAAUAAGGCAGUGGAAAAUAAAAUACAGGUCGUUGGAAAUCGAAUGCAUUCAAAGGUUAUGUUCGUUAACAUUAUUGGUGUCUUACAAGUUUUGCUUGUUUUAUCUUAGGUUUAGCAGCUGUCCGCAUCUGGAUGGUGGGGCACAGCAUCAUGCAUUGGGCUGGCAUCAGUGCACGGCAGUCCGGAUUGGGACCAGGUCUCGACCUUCCUCCACAUGUGCAGUUGCCUUGGCUGUCCAGACGGGGAAUGCGCUGGCCAGAAUUCCUGCCGCUGAUUCGGAGGCGGGUGCUGCUGGAAGGGCCGCCCACUGCUGUCGUGGUGCAGCUGGGUGAGAACGACCUGGUUUCCAUGGACUGUUUUUCACUACGUGCUGCAACUUUGGGUGACCUGGAGAAGCUGCGGGCAGUGGUGCCGACAGCAAAAAUAUUUUGGUCAAAGCUUUUGCGACGACGUGUUUGGAAGGGUAGUCGUUGCCCAGCUGCCACUGAAAGUCCAGGAAGCGCAUCAAUUCUGCUGUGUCUAAAAAGAUUUUGGAGCUGGGUGGAGAUGUGAUUUCCCACCUUGAGAUUCUUUUUCAGGCUGAAUCCUUUUUCAGAGAUGCACCUUUCUGCCUUAGGGAAUAAGGCUUGGCUGGGUGCUGUGGUGGCUAAGCUGAAGGCUUGGUUGGGUCUGUGAGUGGUUUGGCGGUGAGCUGAAGGCUCCAUGGAGGUUAGGCAUUGGUUAAAAUUGGUUCUUGGAGGGGUAAGUGCCUACCCCUCCAAAUGGUGCGGAAAGGGAAUUCUGUUAAAGGAAUCCAGGGGCUUGCCAUUCUUUUCGUCCUUGUCCCUGGCAUCGGACUUGGGCCGUGCAAGCCCCACAGGAACAUGAGGGUGAGAAGUGAGGGACUGAUGCCCAGCUUCAUUUUCUCACCCAAUACUUGUUUCCCACGCUGGCUUCCGUUGGUGUCCGGAAGGCCAGCUCUGUCCCUGAGGGCAAGGACAGAUAGUCAUAACCAGUGCCUAAGCAACCACUCACAUUUUUUGUAUUUUGAAUAAAGUUGUGGCCAAAAUUAUGCCAAAAACCUUAAACAAAAAUUGAUGUGUGAAGUGUGAAUUUUUUGG